GAUGAAGAACGUAGCGAAAUGCGAUAAGUAAUGUGAAUUGCAGAAUUCAGUGAAUCAUCGAAUCUUUGAACGCACAUUGCGCUCGCCAGUAUUCUGGCGGGCAUGCCUGUUCGAGCGUCAUUUCAACCAUCAAGCCCCAGGCUUGUGUUGGAGCCCUGCGGCUGCCGCAGCCUCCCAAAACCAGUGGCGGGCUCGCUAUCACACCGAGUGCAGUAGUUUACUCUUCGCUCAGGGCGUGUGGCGGGUGCUAGCCGUAAAACCCCCAACUUCUCAAGGUUGACCUCGGAUCAGGUAGGAAUACCCGCUGAACUUAAGCAUAUCAAUAAGCGGAGGA
rnacentral:misc_RNA from 1 species